rnacentral:rRNA from 9 species
GCGACCCCAGGUCAGGCGGGACUACCCGCUGAAUUUAAGCAUAUCAAUA